UGGGGAAUAUUGGACAAUGGGCGAAAGCCUGAUCCAGCCAUGCCGCGUGUGUGAAGAAGGUCUUCGGAUUGUAAAGCACUUUAAGUUGGGAGGAAGGGUUGUAGAUUAAUACUCUGCAAUUUUGACGUUACCGACAGAAUAAGCACCGGCUAACUCUGUGCCAGCAGCCGCGGUAAUACAGAGGGUGCAAGCGUUAAUAGGAAUUACUGGGCGUAAAGCGCGCGUAGGUGGUUUGUUAAGUUGGAUGUGAAAUCCCCGGGCUCAACCUGGGAACUGCAUUCAAAACUGACUGACUAGAGUAUGGUAGAGGGUGGUGGAAUUUCCUGUGUAGCGGUGAAAUGCGUAGAUAUAGGAAGGAACACCAGUGGCGAAGGCGACCACCUGGACUAAUACUGACACUGAGGUGCGAAAGCGUGGGGAGCAAACA
rnacentral:rRNA from 1 species